AGCGAACGCUGGCGGCAGGCCUAACACAUGCAAGUCGAACGGACCCUUCGGGGUUAGUGGCGGACGGGUGAGUAACACGUGGGAACGUGCCUUUAGGUUCGGAAUAGCUCCUGGAAACGGGUGGUAAUGCCGAAUGUGCCCUUGGGGAAAGAUUUAUCGCCUUUAGAGCGGCCCGCGUCUGAUUAGCUAGUUGGUGAGGUAAUGGCUCACCAAGGCGACGA
rnacentral:rRNA from 1 species